rnacentral:ncRNA from 1 species
GGCUUAUGGUGGAUAGCUAGGCACACAAAGACAAGAAAAGGCAUAGUAAGCAGUGAAUGCUUCCAAUAGUUGAAAAUAAGCAUAGAUUUGGAGAUUCUCGAAUAGGUUAACCUUUCAAACUAUUGUUGAAUCCAUGGGCAGACAAGAGACAACCUAAUGAACUUAAACAUCUUAGUAGCUGGAGGAAAAGAAAGCAAAAUUGAUUUUCAUAGUAGCGGUAAGCGAAAUUAGAGUAGCCUAAAUCAUGAAAAUAGGGUUGUAGGAAAGCAAUAAAAGUGUCGUUCUUCUAGGCAAAGUGGUAAAGUGUCAAACCCUAGAUGAUGAUGGUCCAGUAGCUGAAAGCAUCACUAGCUUACGCUUUAACCCGAGUAGCAUGAGGCACGUGGAAUCCCAUAUGAAUCAGUAAGGACCACCUUGCAAGGCUAAAUACUCUUGGGUGACCGAUAGUGAAGUAGUACCGUAGGGGAAUGGUGAAAAGAACCUCCGUCGGGGAGUGAAAUAGAACAUGAAACUAUAAGCU